CAGAUCUACUUUAAGACAAAAAGAUGAAGAACUGAAAUCCGUCACUCAGAGAUCUGCUCUUAAACAAAGAGAAGAGGAAAUAAAAUCCCUCAAACAGAGGCUUCAGGAAGCUUCAGAUUUAAGGUCCGGCUCCCAGCAAUGUAAACAAGGAUGUGAACACAAAGAAAGGUCUGUUUUAUGGAUCUAUCAUAGAAAUACC